UACGGGGGGGCAAGCGUUGUCCGGAAUCAUUGGGCGUAAAGAGCGUGUAGGCGGCCCGAUAAGUCCGCUGUGAAAGUCCAGGGCUCAACCCUGGAAUGCCGGUGGAUACUGUCGGGCUCGAAUCCGGAAGAGGUGAGUGGAAUUCCUGGUGUAGCGGUGAAAUGCGCAGAUAUCAGGAGGAACACCAAUGGCGAAGGCAGCUCACUGGGACGGUAUUGACGCUGAGACGCGAAAGCGUGGGGAGCAAACAGG
rnacentral:rRNA from 1 species